GACUCGGUGACGUAGAGAUAGCGUGCCUGCAACGUAAGGUUGCCGGUUCAAUUCCGGCUGGAGUCG